GGCUGAUAUAAUCAAGAAGAAGGGAAAGAUGUGCUGCCUCUUCAUCAACGAUCUUGAUGCCGGAGCUGGUAGACUUGGUGGAACUACCCAAUACACCGUCAACAACCAGAUGGUUAAUGCUACCCUCAUGAACAUUGCUGACAACCCAACAAAUGUGCAACUUCCCGGCAUGUACAACAAGGAGGAGAAUCCACGUGUCCCCAUCAUCGUCACUGGUAACGAUUUUUCAACAUUGUAUGCUCCUCUUAUCCGUGAUGGUCGUAUGGAGAAAUUCUACUGGGCUCCAACCAGAGAUGAUAGGAUUGGUGUCUGCAUUGGAAUAUUCAAGAGUGACAAAAUUCCCAAGGAAGAUAUUGUCAAGCUUGUUGAUACCUUCCCUGGUCAAUCUAUCGGUAAGCUAGCUCCCUUCUAGAGUUUUGAAAGCUUUAUUGGUGACAAGCGUUUCUUAAAACCGAGUUUCACAAAGUAGAUGUUAGACUCAACAUUCAAAAAGGCCCUGGGUGCAUUUUUGUUUGGGGUGGCUAAUAUUUUUUGCUUGUGCAGAUUUCUUUGGUGCUCUCAGGGCCCGAGUUUAUGACGAUGAGGUGAGGAAGUGGGUCUCAGGCGUUGGUGUUGACAGCAUUGGAAAGAAACUUGUGAACUCAAGGGAAGGACCCCCAACUUUUGAGCAGCCGAAGAUGACAAUCGAGAAGCUCCUUGAGUAUGGAAACAUGCUUGUCCAGGAGCAAGAGAAUGUGAAGAGAGUCCAAUUGGCUGACAAGUACCUGAGCGAGGCUUCUCUUGGUGAAGCCAAUCAAGAUUCCAUUGAUAGAGGAACUUUCUAUGGUUAGAUCCCUUGAUCCUAGAGGCUUGGAUGGGAGGUUUGCAUCUGGCUUCUGUUAUUGUGUAUAAAGUUGGAACAGGAGUUUUUCUUAAGUUGGUUUUCUUUCGUUGUUGUUUGUUGCAGGCCAAGCGGCACAGCAAGUAAAGGUGCCUGUCGCUGAAGGCUGUACUGAUCCAAAUGCAGCAAACUUUGAUCCAACUGCAAGGAGUGAUGAUGG
rnacentral:lncRNA from 1 species